AACGGAGGGGGCAAGUGAGGUUCGGAAUUACUGGGCGUAAAGCGCGUGUAGGUGGUUCGGUAAGGCGAAUGAGAAAGCCCCGGGCUCAACCCGGGAAGUGCAUCCGAAACUGCCGAACUAGAGUCCCGGAGAGGAAGGCAGAAUUCCCAAUGUAGGGGUGAAAUCCGUAGAUAUUGGGAGGAAUACCGGUGGCGAAGGCGGCCUUCUGGACGGUGACUGACACUCAGACGCGAAAGCGUGGGGAGCAAACAGG
rnacentral:rRNA from 1 species